rnacentral:lncRNA from 1 species
GAAAGAGGCAGAUUGCCAAUGGGCAGAUGUUAAGGGCACAUGAAAUUCGCUCGCUAUAGCCGAUCGGUUCGCAGGGCGCUGAUGGUGCAUCACAAGAGAAUUUCGAAAUGGGCUUGGAGAGCGGGGACCAGAAAAUGGUGAUUCUUAACACACGCAGAUACACUCGGGCGUCUGCACACCGAGCAGUUCUACGGAAAGGCGCACACUUUUUGAGAGCAGCUCGUUGUGUGGAUUGCACCGUGUAUAAUCUCCUCCGAGGAGGCUUCGGAACUGAAGAUCCCCUUGGUCCACUGGACUUCUCAGUAUGGUCGAAAUCAGCCCUGCUCACUUGAGGAUAGACACCAAGGAGCUUCCGGAGCCCCGGUCUGCAGAGUCCCCCAGGCAGGUGCGGGUCCCCAGCCCGGUCAAGCAACAAGCGGACAGUCCGCGGGAGGGCCGGGUCCCUCUUGGCCCCCGUCCCCGCGCCUGUCACCUCUCCCCGCCCCCACUCCCCAAGCAGCCAGCGGGGCCAAACGAACGCCGGGGAAGGAGAAAACCGAGCGAGCGACUCACCCCCAGCUUCCUGCUGCGGAUUUUCACGUAGCCCUGCUUGACGAUGUCGUUAAAGUUGGAGGCCAUGGCCAGCGCGUUCGGGCUUGUCUGCCGCGCGAGCCGCUUCCCGGAGUCGAGAGCCGCCGUCCGCCG